CGUUCCCUUGCUGGAGAGAGAUGGCCCGCACCAUGCGAAGGCCAUCCACCGAAGGAGCAAACCGCGCAGCCAGCCAGGGUGUUGCGGUGAAUCUCUCAGGUAAAGCGGACAGCAGGGCAAAU
rnacentral:ncRNA from 2 species